UACGUAGGGGGCAAGCGUUGUCCGGAUUUAUUGGGCGUAAAGAGCGUGUAGGCGGCCAUACAGGUCAGCUGUGAAAACUCGAGGCUCAACCUCGAGACGUCGGUUGAAACCGUAUGGCUAGAGUCCGGAAGAGGAGAGUGGAAUUCCCGGUGUAGCGAUGAAAUGCGCAGAUAUCGGGAAGAACACCCAUGGCGAAGGCAGCUCUCUGGGACGGUACUGACGCUGAGACGCGAAAGCGUGGGGAGCGAACAGG
rnacentral:rRNA from 1 species